CUCUCGGCAACGGAUAUCUAGGCUCUCGCAUCGAUGAAGAACGUAGCGAAAUGCGAUACUUGGUGUGAAUUGCAGAAUCCCGCGAAUCAUCGAGUUUUUGAACGCAAGUUGCGCCCGAGGCCUCGGCCGAGGGCACGUCUGCCUGGGCGUCACGCACCGUUGCC
rnacentral:rRNA from 1 species